AUUGAACGCUGGCGGCAUGCCUUACACAUGCAAGUCGAACGGCAGCGGGGGAGAAGCUUGCUUUUCCUGCCGGCGAGGGGCGAACGGGUGAGUAAUACAUCGGAACGUGCCCUGUAGUGGGGGAUAACUAGUCGAAAGAUUAGCUAAUACCGCAUACGACCUGAGGGUGAAAGUGGGGGACCGCAAGGCCUCAUGCUAUAGGAGCGGCCGAUGUCUGAUUAGCUAGUUGGUGGGGUAAAGGCCUACCAAGGCGACGAUCAGUAGCUGGGCUGAGAGGACGAUCAGCCACACUGGGACUGAGACACGGCCCAGACUCCUACGGGAGGCAGCAGUGGGGAAUUUUGGACAAUGGGCGAAAGCCUGAUCCAGCAAUGCCGCGUGUGUGAAGAAGGCCUUCGGGUUGUAAAGCACUUUUGUCCGGAAAGAAAUGGCUCUGGUUAAUACCUGGGGUCGAUGACGGUACCGGAAGAAUAAGGACCGGCUAACUACGUGCCAGCCGCCGCGGUAA
rnacentral:rRNA from 1 species